UGGGGAAUAUUGCGCAAUGGGCGAAAGCCUGACGCAGCGACGCCGCGUGAGGGACGAAGGCCUUCGGGUUGUAAACCUCUUUCAGCAGGGACGAAGCCGCAAGGUGACUGUACCUGCAGAAGAAGCACCGGCUAACUACGUGCCAGCAGCCGCGGUAAUACGUAGGGUGCAAGCGUUGUCCGGAAUUAUUGGGCGUAAAGAGCUCGUAGGCGGUCUGUCGCGUCGGAUGUGAAAACCCAGGGCUCAACCCUGGGCCUGCAUUCGAUACGGGCAGACUAGAGUUCGGUAGGGGAGACUGGAAUUCCUGGUGUAGCGGUGAAAUGCGCAGAUAUCAGGAGGAACACCGGUGGCGAAGGCGGGUCUCUGGGCCGAUACUGACGCUGAGGAGCGAAAGCGUGGGGAGCAAACAGG
rnacentral:rRNA from 1 species